AUUAGGAAAAUUGGGACCACAAUUCAAAAAAAUUGGAAGUUGAAAUCAUCCACAAAUUCCAUGUGGGCCGUGUGAGUGGAUUGUGGUGCCCACACAAUUUUGUGUCAUCUAUUUAGUGAUCCAACUCAUUAAUGUGGGCCAAUUUUCUUUGUACAACUCAAGGGGGAAUUAAAAGAUGACUUGCUAGUCAUCUUUAGUUCACUUUCCACACUUAGAGAAAAGAAGCAAAAGCUGAAAACCCCAUUGGAGGCUCUCGGCCAGCCUUGGAGAAAAUCAACCCCCAUUUUUAGCUCUCUUAAAAUUAUUUCCUUGGUACAAACCCAUUAUUUUGAGGACCUUAAGUAGAGUGGAAGCAUCGUUGGAGCGAUCAACCUAUUAAUUUUUCAUCUUUUGGAAAACCCUAGCCUAUUGGAAGUUGAAGAGAAAAAGAUCGUGGGCAGCCCGAAUCAUAGUUUGGACUUAGCUCGAGUUGGAUCAUAUUGGAGAGCGUUCGAGGUACAGACGCACAGUUCGGUGAUCCUCCAGUGUAGGAUACCCCUUUUGUUGUUGGAGUGCUCCCCUCCCUUCAGAGCACAUCUUUUGGUAUACACUUUUGUUCGCUAUGUUGUAUAUAUUCGUUCAUGGGUACGGCGGGGCCCUGUUCCGCCAUAUGAUUCGUUUGGUCUGUUUAGAGGUCUGUAGACUUAUUUGUGGGUGUGUGUGCCUACUUCUGUACAGUUGUGUCCAUAUGAUCUUCUUCGUUAUGGCAGCCUUGUCGGCAUGCAUUUUGUA